UACGGAGGGUGCAAGCGUUAUCCGGAUUCACUGGGUUUAAAGGGUGCGUAGGUGGGUUGGUAAGUCAGUGGUGAAAUCUCCGGGCUUAACUCGGAAACUGCCGUUGAUACUAUCAAUCUUGAAUGUUGUGGAGGUAAGCGGAAUAUGUCAUGUAGCGGUGAAAUGCUUAGAUAUGACAUAGAACACCGAUAGCGGAGGCAGCUUGCUACACAAUGAUUGACACUGAGGCACGAAAGCGUGGGGAU
rnacentral:rRNA from 1 species